rnacentral:tRNA from 1 species
GCCCGGCUAGCUCAAUCGGUAGAGCGUGAGACUCUUAAUCUCAAGGUUGUGGGUUCGACCCGUAAGUGCU